rnacentral:ribozyme from 1 species
UUUUUUUUUUUUUUUUUUUUUUUUUUUUUUUUUUUUUUUUG